GAUGAACGCCGGCGGCGUGCCUAAUACAUGCAAGUCGAGCGAACAGACGAGGAGCUUGCUCCUCUGACGUUAGCGGCGGACGGGUGAGUAACACGUGGAUAACCUACCUAUAAGACUGGGAUAACUUCGGGAAACCGGAGCUGAUACCGGAUAAUAUAUUGAACCGCAUGGUUCAAUAGUGAAAGACGGUUUUGCUGUCACUUAUAGAUGGAUCCGCGCCGCAUUAGCUAGUUGGUAAGGUAACGGCUUACCAAGGCAACGAUGCGUAGCCGACCUGAGAGGGUGAUCGGCCACACUGGAACUGAGACACGGUCCAGACUCCUACGGGAGGCAGCAGUAGGGAAUCUUCCGCAAUGGGCGAAAGCCUGACGGAGCAACGCCGCGUGAGUGAUGAAGGUCUUCGGAUCGUAAAACUCUGUUAUUAGGGAAGAACAAAUGUGUAAGUAACUAUGCACGUCUUGACGGUACCUAAUCAGAAAGCCACGGCUAACUACGUG
rnacentral:rRNA from 1 species